rnacentral:tRNA from 1 species
GAGAUGGCUCAAUGGUUAAGAGCACUGACUGCUCUUCCAGAGGUCCUGAGUUCAAUUCCCAGCAACCACA